rnacentral:rRNA from 1 species
AUUGAACGCUGGCGGCAUGCUUUACACAUGCAAGUCGAACGGUAACAGGGAGCUUGCUCCGCUGACGAGUGGCGAACGGGUGAGUAAUGCGUCGGAACGUGCCGAGUAGUGGGGGAUAACGCAGCGAAAGUUGUGCUAAUACCGCAUACGUACUGAGGUAGAAAGUGGGGGACCUUCGGGCCUCACGCUAUUCGAGCGGCCGACGUCUGAUUAGCUAGUAGGUGAGGUAAAGGCUCACCUAGGCGACGAUCAGUAGCGGGUCUGAGAGGAUGAUCCGCCACACUGGGACUGAGACACGGCCCAGACUCCUACGGGAGGCAGCAGUGGGGAAUCUUGGACAAUGGGCGAAAGCCUGAUCCAGCCAUGCCGCGUGUCUGAAGAAGGCCUUCGGGUUGUAAAGGACUUUUGUCAGGGAAGAAAUCUUCUGGGUUAAUACCUCGGGAGGAUGACGGUACCUGAAGAAUAAGCACCGGCUAACUACGUGCCAGCCGCCGCCGUAACAC